rnacentral:rRNA from 1 species
UACGAAGGGGGCUAGCGUUGCUCGGAAUUACUGGGCGUAAAGCGCACGUAGGCGGCUUUCUAAGUCGGGGGUGAAAUCCUGGAGCUCAACUCUGGAACUGCCUUUGAUACUGUCGAUCUAGAGUAUGGAAGAGGUGAGUGGAAUUCCGAGUGUAGAGGUGAAAUUCGUAGAUAUCGAGAGGAACACCGGUGGCGAAGGCGGCCUUCUGGACAGUGACUGACGCUGAGACGCGAAAGCGUGGGGAGCAAACAGG